UAGGUUUUAUAAAAGGGGCUUUCGCCAUGUGAGCUCAGCUGCAUCAGGCAGGCAGGGGCAGCAAGAUGAUGUCGCUGACAAAGGUCCUUAUAUCUGUGUUGCUCUGGGUCUCAGGUGCCUGUGGGGACAUCGUGUUGACCCAGUCUCCAGAGUCCUUGGCAGUGUCUCUAGGACAGAGGGUCGAGAUGAAGUGCAAGGCCAGUCAGAGUGCUAGCAGCAACUUGGACUGGCACCAGCACAAACCAGGACAGGCUCCUAAGCAGCUCAUCUACAGAGCAUCCAGCAGAGCGUCUGGGGUCCCUGACCGAUUCAGUGGCAGUGGAUCUGGGACAGAUUUCACUCUCACCAUCAGCAGCCUCCAGGCUGAAGAUGUGGCCGUUUAUUACUGUCAGCAGUAUAAUAGUGCUCCUCCCACAGUGCUUCAGCCUCGAACACAAACUUCUUCCCCAAAACCAUGGGUCAGUGCGUCUUUUCUGCACCAGCUGCUUCCUCUGCACACAGACAUGAACAUGCAAUUCCUAUGUCUACGUGAGAGGUCGUAUCUCCUAACUUAUUCUUUGAAGGAUUUGUAGGGCCCAGGAAAAAUU